rnacentral:misc_RNA from 1 species
AACAUCGCGCACCUGCGGGAACCUGCGGAGGGAUCAUUACAAGUGACCCCGGUCUAACCACCGGGAUGUUCAUAACCCUUUGUUGUCCGACUCUGUUGCCUCCGGGGCGACCCUGCCUUCGGGCGGGGGCUCCGGGUGGACACUUCAAACUCUUGCGUAACUUUGCAGUCUGAGUAAACUUAAUUAAUAAAUUAAAACUUUUAGCAACGGAUCU